ACACAGUCCUGCUAACUGGGUGAUUGUACAUCUCAAAAAGCAGCUAUGUGCACUACUGUGGCAUAAUGUGAAUAAAUGAAGAGAAAAUAGUUGUAGUCUGAAUACAGAGUGAGAUUAAAUUCUGUGUCAAACUGAUUCAACACAAUCCCUGUCAAGUCAAAAUUGUGAAUAUUUAAGAACUAAUUUUAAAGUUCAAGUGGAGAAACGGAAGACUCAGAAUGACCAAUGAUUCUGAAGAACUAGGAGAGAAGACUGAUGCCAUGCAAAUCAGGCAAUGUUAAAGUCUUCAGUCUGCUUGUGCCCAGCCAUUAAUUCUGGAAUGAAGAAAUAGUGGAACAGUAAAGAAAAUGCUAAGCGGUGGCAUUGAAGAGAGGGAAACAGAUAAAUAAAAGAUUCCUGAGUGAGGCAUAUAGUAUUUCAAAAUUCAAGCAUAUUUUGGUUGGAUUUUGGUUGGAUAUGAAGUACUCCCCAACAAGGUGGUUCUACCCGAGGAAGUUUUGAUAACUUUGAAAGAUGACACCUGACUUGAAUGAGAAGUGACAUGGAAUUUGGGGCCAGCCCAGGAUACAAGGGGACCUGUGUCAAAAUCAACCCAAAACAGCAUAAAAAUAAAGCUGGUGAAAUAUCUCAAUGGAUGCUUGCUGCCAAGUCUGAAGACCUGAGUUCAAUAUCUAGGUUCCUUAUGAUGCAUCAUUAAACCAAGUCAUGGAGGAGCCCUUGUGAAGUCAAAGAUGGAAGCUGAAAGAGAAGCAGCCGAGCUGGAAAGGAAACUCCAUGUCACCAGUGCCACCUGCGGUGAAGUUGACUUCUCUUUUCCAGAAAAGUUGAGACCCACUCUCAUGCAUCCUAUUUAUUCUAUAAUGUAAUGCUGCUACAAAAGCCAAUGUAAUACUAAGUAUGUCAAAUAACAACAAGGUCAUGAAGGAUGGCUUAAGUCUCAUGGUCACUUAGUGUCUCAUAGCUAGACAUCCAGUCCCUAACGGUGUCCAGUGAUGCUUUGGAGAAUAGUUGUUGUAGAAGCAAGAUUCAUUACAAACCCCAGGUAUGAGGCUCCUUUCUGGCUUGCCAGAGGAUCCACACUAGGCAAUUCCUAUAGAUGGCUACACCAGCAAUGGGGCUACGGCAUCUCAAACUUCUCUAACACUGCACUAGAAAUCCAGCCUUUUUACACGUCUUAGUUUGUUCUGAGACUCAUUCAAAACAGUUAUCAUUAUGAGAUACUCAAUAAAUAGGUCAUAGGAGCAUGUUCAAUAUGAGGUACAUUGCCUGACAAAUACAAAAAGACCCUCAGAAUGCUGCUACAUGUGUACCUUUCUUUUGGGGGGAUGAUGUAAAAGACAGCAACCUGCUGAUUUCAGUGACACACUGUUUAGAAGUACAAGGCCACCAGACCCUAGACAUUCUGUCAUUGCACUGGGCAUAUGAAAUUUAACAGCAUUUAUCUUCUCUUCUAACUCUGACAUGAUAUAUUUAUUAAGAUAUGUGAAGUGUUUGCCAAACAUAGAAAAUAGUACAAUGUUAUAAAUGAUGCUGAUGGGGAUGGUAUGUCAUGAUGAUGACCCCUCCAGAUAAGCACAACAAACAUUAAGAAAUCCUACUACUACAGGAGAGAGAAAGGAAUACUUACAGUAACAGGAAAGGACAAAGUCACACAGAGAAAAGUUCCAUGAGGGAAACUUGCUAUUCAGCUGGAGACUACAUUGAACCUCUAAAAGGCAACAGGGAUAGAAAAACAACCCACUUGCAGUCUCUCCCCUCUGAUACCCUGCUGGGACUCUCCAUUAGCCAAAUGCCAUCUGGAAAGCAGAGGGAAGAAAAAAUGAUGUAUCCACAUGCAGACUCCCAGGAUACAAAGCAGGCAAAGAAAAUGAUAAAGACAAAGAUGUCCAGUGGUAGGGGGAGAAACAAAGUAUAGACUUUCUCUGUGGUGACUGAGAUUAGUAACAGGUAAGGGGGUAAGUGGAACAAAUAAAACAGUGAUGUUAUUUUAUAAACAUUUUCAUUACCUUCAUAAACUCAUUUCUAAAAUUAUGCUUUAAACUUGAUGGCAGAAUCUUUUGCAAUAAGCAGUACGACUUUUACAUAAAACUUUCCACCCCCAACUACACCAGAAUUAUAGUUUGCAAACAAGUAUUUUAUUUUUAAAAUCAUAAGACAUAUAAAACAGCAAAUUACACACUUUUCAAGGGCAUAAAGAUAAAGCAACUCUUUAUUGAAGCUGACAAUAUUCUGAAUCAUGAAGCAAGUGUUAACAAACCAUCAAUAGGCUGGGCUCAUAUAAGCUAUGUUCUCUGACCACAGUGGAAAUGAGAUAAGAAUUAGUAUUAAUAAGAUGACUAGAAAAUUCCAAAAUGAUUAGAAACUAAGCAGUGUGCUUCUACAUAACCCUUCAGUGGAGAAAGAAAUCACAAUGAAAAUUAGAAAGUAUUUUGAACUGAAUGAUAAUGAAAAUGAUUUCCAUAUUGAGAGAGAAUCUUAUCAUCUUAGAUGCAUUGGUUAGAGUAGCAAGACAAGACAUAAAAAAUGAUCCACACAUUCUUCUUCAAUGACUAGACAAAGAACACAGUUAAAUCUAAGUAAUUGUAAAGAAGAAAUAAUGAAUGACAGAAUUUUACAAAAUGAAGAGUAAACAUAUAAGAAAGGUUAUUAGAAAUGAGUCUAGGGUUCAUUCUUAGAAAUUCUAAUUUUAAAAGAUUCCUUACAGAUGCUAAUGAAGAGAAAGAAAAGAGAAAACUCAAAAAUGAUCAGUACAGGAGUAGAAAAGUAGAACUGAGACUUAGAUGACCAGCCAAUAAUAAUACUUGUUAUAGUGUAGAUCAAAACAGAUUAAGAAUGGAUUUGUGGCAGGCUGGGAAGGUAACUCCAACAGAAAAUCACAGUCUCCUGCUAAAUUUUCAGAUUUAAGGCAGUGUUCUCUUCUAGAACCAUUCACUAAGUAAAGUGGCCAGGAUCCCAGGGCAUGUCCUCUAAAGACCACAACAAAUAUGUACUGCAAUAAUCCUGGUCUCUCACAGAAUAACCUAUUGCAUCUGCUUCAGUGACAGCACCCUGAAGGAAAAGCCCUUUAGUUUGAUAUCACUUGUCACCUUCUGAACUUAUCUUGAAAGCCAAUUGCUAUGAUGGUUUUAGGAGUGGAGCCUCUGAGAGGUGAUUAAAUCAUGUAACAGUUAAAGUAUUUUGGAUGGGACUGAGAUCACACACUUAGUUACUUCAAGAGCAGUGUUGUUUUAAGGUCAGGCUGCUUCUUUUGUGUUUUCUCUUCCACUUUCUAUGUGCCCUUCGACUUUCUACCACAAGCUGAAAUAGCACAAGACCUUCACCAGGAACUGAGAAGAAAUGGUACCAUGCUUUUGGACUUCCCAAACUCCAGGAUCUUAUUAAUACAUGCUUUAUGAAUUAUCAAGUCUCAAAUAUUCUAUUGUAGGAACAAAAAAAUAAAUCACAAAAAUGGAAAUGCCUAUACAUUUCAAGCUCUGCUGGGUACAGCUAUAGAACUGAGCCAUCCUUGUGCCCCUUCUAAUAAAAUGGAGCUAUCUGAAUGCCAGGCAAUAAAUAGAAUCCUGGACCAAACCCAACUUUGUGGCUACACUGGGUCAGGACAGUCACCAAAUGGUCAUUGUAGCUGGAGAGCUUCUCUCCAGGUCCCACCAAGUCCCUGCAGUCCCACAACCCACGUAUAAAAUAAACACACAGACGCUUAUAUUAUUUAAACUAUUUGGCCUAAUGGCUCAGGCUUCUUGCUAACUGUUCUUAUAUCUUAAAAUUAACCCAUUUCUAUAAAUCUAUAUCUUGCCAUGUGGUUCAUGGCUUACCAGCAUCUUCACAUGCUGCUUGUCAUGGUGGCUGCUGGCAGUGUCUCGCUCUCUGCCUUCCUGUUCCCUCAGUUCUCCUCUCUGUUAGUCCCACCUGUACUUCCUGCCUGGCCACUGGCCAAUUGGUGUUUAUUUAUACAGAGUGAUAUCCACAGUAGCUCAUGCCUUGAAUGCACAGUUGGAACAGGUGGCUGUCAGUUGGAGCAACCCCCAAAUUGAGUUGCUGACUGAUAAAGCAAGAGAUAUUACAGUGGGGAGAAAAAUGUAAGCCUCUGAAAGUACCCUAAUAAUGCAAGAUUAUAAAGAAAAUUAGGACCAUGACCUGGAACAGAUGUCAGAGACCAGUGGCAUUUUCAAAGAUCUAGAGGAUGCAGAGGGGAGGGGCUCUGUCAUAACUGUUUAAUUUGCCUCUGGCAGCAAACAGAUGGAGCCUGGGGAAUGGCUGUGGACUUCCAAACCUUAGGCAGGUUUUAGUAAGCCUAAUUAUAGUUUCAAGGCAUGCUGCUUUUGCUGGAGUAGAUGAAUGAAGACAUAAGCACAUGUUCAGUAGCCAUGGUGCUCUUUUCUAAACCACUAGGGAAAUAGCAACAGAGCCAGCAUGCUUUACAUUGACCAGCAAUCACAUUUACUCAGGUUUUCCUUUAGGGCUAUGUUAACUUUUCCACUCUCUGCCAUAAUGUAAUUGGAAGUGAUCUGAGCCACCCAGAAACUGCCAGACUAUUAGGUUCAGCUAUUAGGUCAGGCAUUCUGACACUCAGGCAAGAUGAGUGAGAGACAGUCAACAUGUCAGAGGAUUUAAUAAGACCCCUGUGACUCUGAAAGUCAAGGAAAAAGAAUCCUAAGAAAGACAUAGGUACUUGAUACUUCAAUAAUUGUAUUGGGGGGGUCCAGGAGGAUAUGUUGGUACCUGUUCCAAAGUAAAAGAUUAAAAA